ACGCUGGCGGCACGCCUAAUACAUGCAAGUCGAACGAAGUAGCAAUACUUAGUGGCAGACGGGUGAGUAACAUGUGGGUAUCUUCCCUUUGGUGAGGAAUAACACGAGGAAACUUGUGCUAAUACCUCAUAAGUCUUUACGGAGAAAGCUUUAUGCGCCAAUGGAUGAGCCCGCACUUGAUUAGUUUGUUGGUGGGGUAAUGGCCUACCAAGACAAUGAUCAAUAGCUGAUUUGAGAGGAUGAUCAGCCACAUUGGGACUGAGACACGGCCCAAACUCCUACGGGAGGCAGCAGUAGGGAAUCUUGCACAAUGGAGGAAACUCUGAUGCAGCGAUGCCGCGUGAGUGAAGAAGGCCCUUGGGUUGUAAAGCUCUUUCGUCGGGGAAGAAAAUGACUGUACCCGAAUAAGAAGGUCCGGCUAACUUCGUGCCAGCAGCCGCGGUAAUACGAAGGGACCUAGCGUAGUUCGGAAUUACUGGGCUUAAAGAGUUCGUAGGUGGUUAAAAAAGUUGGUGGUGAAAGCCCAGAGCUUAACUCUGGAACGGCCAUCAAAACUUUUUAGCUAGAGUAUGAUAGAGGAAAGCAGAAUUUCUAGUGUAGAGGUGAAAUUCGUAGAUAUUAGAAAGAAUACCAAUUGCGAAGGCAGCUUUCUGGAUCAUUACUGACACUGAGGAACGAAAGCAUGGGUAGCGAAGAGGAUUAGAUACCCUCGUAGUCCAUGCCGUAAACGAUGUGUGUUAGAUGUUGGAAAUUUAUUUUCAGUAUCGCAGCGAAAGCAAUAAACACACCGCCUGGGGAGUAC
rnacentral:rRNA from 1 species